UUUUUCUUUGUUUUUUUUAUAAUGCCCCAGUUGGUUGUUCUGCUGAUUCUCGAGAUGCAGCUGAGUGAUCUUCUUUUCUUGCUCAAGAAGUCGGGAAAUCUCGUCAGGAAUCCCUUCAACAUCAUCUUCUUCCGCUUUGAAUACAGGGAAUUCAAAAUUGGGAGAUGACGUUGGAUCAUUAUGUUCAAUGGGUUUAAGAAUCAAUCUGCAUAAUGAUUUGAUAUGAAAAGCUCUUUGGAAAUCAAACAAGACAAUCGUUAUGCAGAUGAAAAGAUUGCUUUUAUUCUUGUUUUUAGGGUUUU
rnacentral:lncRNA from 1 species